UACGUAGGUGGCAAGCGUUGUCCGGAUUUAUUGGGUUUAAAGGGUGCGUAGGCGGUCUAUUAAGUCAGUGGUGAAAUAUGGCAGCUUAACUGUCAGGGUGCCAUUGAUACUAUGGACUUGAGUGAAGUCGAAGUAGGCGGAAUUGACGGUGUAGCGGUGAAAUGCUUAGAUAUCGUCAAGAACACCGAUAGUGAAGACAGCUUACUAGGCUUAUACUGACGCUGAGGCACGAAAGUGUGGGGAUCAAACAGG
rnacentral:rRNA from 1 species